ACAUGUAUUUGUGCAUGUACAUCUACAUGCAUGCCUUGUGAAAACAUACAAAUAUAUGCAUACAUAUUCACAAAUGUACACAUCAACAAAU
rnacentral:pre_miRNA from 1 species